rnacentral:lncRNA from 1 species
GUGGGGGUCGUCCCUGUGGCGCCAACCCGCGGAAGGCACGUGAGCUGAAUUUCAUCUGCACCAGACUUAUGUCUUCAAAAAUAACAUUUGUUGAAAUCGCUAUUUACAGACUUAUCUAUCUAACAUUGUACGAAAGUCUACAUAAGCUAAUUUUAUUAAUUAGGCGGGCUAGAAUACAAAUUAUCCUUAGGUCAGUUUGGGAAGCCUGUAGCCGCUGACCACGCUACCAAAAAUUGAACUGAUUUACCACUUUAAGUAUGCAUAUGACUGAUAAAAUGACGCUAAUUAUGUAACAUAAUAUCAGUUCUCAAUUUUACAUACGUGAUUUCUACAGGAUAAGUCUUGAAUAACUGAGAAAACUACGAUAUAUUCAUCUGUUACUGUCGUAAGUUCUUCGUUUUUCCAAAA